rnacentral:rRNA from 1 species
AACGAACGCUGGCGGCAUGCCUAACACAUGCAAGUCGAACGAGAUCUUCGGGUCUAGUGGCGCACGGGUGCGUAACGCGUGGGAAUCUGCCCUUUGGUUCGGAAUAACAGUUGGAAACGACCGCUAGUACCGGAUGAUGACGAAAGUCCAAAGAUUUAUCGCCAGAGGAUGAGCCCGCGUAGGAUUAGCUAGUUGGUGUGGUAAAGGCGCACCAAGGCGACGAUCCUUAGCUGGUCUGAGAGGAUGAUCAGCCACACUGGGACUGAGACACGGCCCAGACUCCUACGGGAGGCAGCAGUGGGGAAUAUUGGACAAUGGGCGAAAGCCUGAUCCAGCAAUGCCGCGUGAGUGAUGAAGGCCUUAGGGUUGUAAAGCUCUUUUACCCGGGAUGAUAAUGACAGUACCGGGAGAAUAAGCUCCGGCUAACUCCGUGCCAGCCGCCGCAGUAA